CCCGCCCCUUGGCGGCCCCGCCCUGUGAUGUCCCGCCCCUUGGCGGCCCCGCCCCUCAGCGGCCCCCGCCCCGUCAUGCCCCGCCCCCUCGGCGGCCCCGCCCCGUGACGCCCGCCGCGUCACGUCCGCCCCGCGAUGCCCCGCCCGGGUCCCCGCCGGCUGGACGUCCCCUGGGUCGCCCGGCGGCGCCUUCUCUGCGGGGAGGUGCAGGGUGCAGUACUGGGCCUCCUGACCCGUGUGGAGCUGGCCCACACGCAGUGCUGCCGUGUGCAAGGAGUGCCAUGCCACGCAGGGGUGUCCCCCAUGUAGGGGAGCCCCACGUGCAAGGAGUGCGCCCCACAAUGAGAGCCGCUCCGUGUGAAAAAAGCGCAGCCCACCCAGGAGUGUGCACGCACACGGAGAGCUGACACAGCAAGAUGACACAACAAAAAAGUGACACAGCUUCCUGGUGUUGCAUGACAAGACUGCAAAUGGACACAGAGAGCAGACGGGGAGGGGGCGGGAAGGGGAGAGAAAUAAAUAAAUCUUCAAAUAAAGAAAUAAUUAAAAAGUAUAAGAGGCUCCCACCUGUUUCUUGAAGAUUUCCCUUAGUCAUGCUGAAUUGUUGCUUUAAUGGAUUAUGUUUAUUUUAAGAAUGUGGUCUUGGAUUAAUUUAUCGAUUAUACUUCGUUCUGUUUUCAGAAUCAUUGAUUUCUGUUUCCUGCUUUCUUGAUUCCAGCCUGUGUUUUCUUCAUCCUGAAUUUGUAUUUUUAUAGGUUUAACUUAGAUUUUUAAAAUUCAUUAUUUAAAUGUUUUCUUUUUCCUAUUUAGUAAUAAAAAUAUUAAGUACUAUAAAUUUUACACUCAGUGCAGUGUUAGGUGUGCCCCAUAAAUUUUGAUGUAUAAUGUUUAAUUUCCAAUUUGACCCAUAAUUUUUAAGGAGUUUUAAAAUUUGUAAGUGGAUAGGUUUUUUUUUCUCAUAUAUUUAUUCUAGUUCUUUUAUUUACAACUUUAUUGUAAUGUGAUCAGAGACUAGUGUCCACGCUAUUUCUACCUUUUGGGAUUCAUGUGUUUUUCUCUGUGGUCCGAUAAAUGGUUUUUGAAAAUACCAGGCUCUUAAAAGGAAAAUCUAUUCUGUAUGGCAUACAGAGUUUGAGAUUUAAUAAAUCAGUCUUACUAACAUUGGAGUUCCUCUGUCCAUUUACGGCUGUAGUUGAAACACUGUAAUCAUAUAUUUGCUAUGUUGCAUAUAUUCCUUUGUAAAUUAUGAGACUUUAUAAGCCACACGUGAACAUACCACAAAGAAUUAUAACAUGACUGUUGACUCUGCUUGUGCCCCCACUGCCCCCACCCCAGCUCCGGGAUGAACCCACACUGUUUUGUGUAGCUGGAGUUAAGUAGUCUUCACCACACCAUAUGCUGCCUGUGUGUCAAAGUGUUUAUCCAUGCUUCUGACUUUUCACUUGCCUUUUGGGACUCAGGCUGCAGUUACAUUUUUCACUUGGCUUCCGUUGCCAUUAUUCCAAAGCUGCUCUAGGGAAGUCAUUUCCAAC
rnacentral:lncRNA from 1 species